GGCCUUAUAGUGUAGCGGUUAUCACAUCGGAUUCUGACUCUGGACAUUCCGGUAACUCAGGUUCGAAUCCUGAUUAGGCCU